UACGAAGGGGGCUAGCGUUGUUCGGAAUUACUGGGCGUAAAGCGUGCGCAGGCGGUUUUGUAAGUCAGAUGUGAAAGCCCCGGGCUCAACCUGGGAACUGCGUUUGAAACUACAAGGCUAGAGUAUGGCAGAGGGGGGGUAGAAUUCCACGUGUAGCAGUGAAAUGCGUAGAGAUGUGGAGGAAUACCAAUGGCGAAGGCAGCCCCCUGGGUCAAUACUGACGCUCAUGCACGAAAGCGUGGGGAGCAAACAGG
rnacentral:rRNA from 1 species